GGCCUAUUGAUUAUAAUUUGAGGUCUGACCUGCCCAAUGAUUUAAUAUUGAAUGGCCGCGGUAAUUUGACCGUGCAAAGGUAGCAUAAUAAUUAGUUUUUUAAUUGAAAGCUUGUAUGAAGGGUUUGAUGAAAAAAUAACUGUCUCUGUUUAAAUUUAUUAGAAUUUUAUUUUUAAGUAAAAAAGCUUAAAUAUAUAUAGAAGACGAGAAGACCCUAUAGAGUUUAAUAAUUAAUAGUAUAAAAAGAGUUAAGUAUUAUUAAUUUUUAUAUUAAAAAUUAUUUGAUUGGGGUGAUAAAAAAAUUUGAUAAACUUUUUUUGUAUAAAAACAUUGAUUAAUGAAAAUUUGAUCCUUAUUUAAAGAUUAAAAGAUAAAAUUACCUUAGGGAUAACAGCGUAAUUUUUUUUUAGAGUUCAAAUUGAAAAAAAAGAUUGCGACCUCGAUGUUGGAUUAAAAAAAAUUAUUGGUGUAGAAGCUAAUAAAUUAGGUCUGUUCGACCUUUAAAAUUUUACAUGAUCUGAGUUUAAACCGGKGKGAGCCAGGUCGGUUUCUAUCU
rnacentral:rRNA from 1 species